UGGAGCACGCAGGAGCUGCAAGCGGGCGUGUGAGCGCUCCCUGCGCGGCUGCGGGAGUGCGGGGUGCCGGGGGAGCGGCAGCCCUGCGCUCGCAGAUGGGCUGGACCUGCCUAACGCGAGCCGAACGAACAAAACGUUCAGGUCAGGUAUUGCACGUGGGGCUCGACGCCAGGCAAGUGCAGAGAUGCUCUGAUUUUGGAUAGUGCGGGCUGGAGGGGUGCUCUGCCUUGGGCUGUCAGCAUCCCCUUCCUCCCGAGCUGGGUCCUUCCUUCCAGGAUGGGACACGGUGUCCUUUGCUGCACAUGCUGCUCCAAAGCAGCUCCUCCGGGGGUAAGGUCUGGAAAGUGGAUGCUUGACACCUGCUGCCUGGGAAAGCCAAACGGAGCAGGGGCAGGUUAACUGGCACGGCAGGGUGGAGAACAGGGAAGAAAGGAAGGAAGGAAGAAAGAAAGAAAGUAAAUGGAGGAGGGGGAGAGAACAGAAAGGAUUGGAAAAUACAAGUGAGAGAGAAGAGUUAAGGAAAGGGGACAGGCUGGACGGUGUCCCCUGAGCCCGUCCCCUUCCUUCCCAGGAGUUCGGGUGUGUGACCGGACUCCCAGCACUUGUCUAGGAAAAGCCCCCAGGGUGUUCUCCAUGCCCAGUACCCUGUUCCCAGGCAGGAAGGCAGGAUCCUGGCCAAGGUGCGCUGGGCUCUAGCAGCUCACCUGGCUCCGGUGACACGCUGGCAGCUGUCAGGUCAAGAUCUGUCAAAAAAGAGACCCUGGAGGGGAA